CGUAAGGCAGACAACGAAUGCCUAGGAUACUGAAGCCGAAGAAGGACGUACGUGGCCACGAAAGUCGUCGGGGAGCUGCCAAGAAGCUUUGAUCCGGCGGUGUCCGAAUGGGGAACCCCCCUCUUUAUGAGGACCCCGCCUAUGGCGGGGGGGGCACGCCCUGAACUGAAACAUCUAAGUAAGGGCAGGAAAAGAAAUCAACGUUCGCGCAAGCGAGAGAGAUUCCGUAAGUAAGCGGUGAGCGAAAGCGGAACAGCCUAAACCCCGCCGCAAGGCGAGGGUGUUGCGGGAAGGCCGAGUGACCGGCAAGGGUAGUCGAACUGUCUGGAAAGGCAGGCUAUAAAACGUGACAGCCGUGUAGGCGAAACCCAAGCCGGCGUGAAGCCGAAUUCCCAAGUACCAUGAGGCACAUACCUUGUGGGAAUCCGGGGUGACCACACUCCAAGGCUAAAUACUUCAGUGUACCGAUAGUGAACUAGUACCGUGAGGGAAAGGCGAAAAGAAGGGUGAGAAACCUAGUGAAAUAGAACCUGAAAUUGUCUGCUGUCAAGCAGACGGAGUCCCGCCUUUGGCGGGAUGACGUCGUGCCUAUUGAAGAAUGAUCCGGCGAGUUUUCGUUACAUGCAUGUCUAAUCCGUCUAAAGCGGAGGAGGCGUAGUGAAAGCGAGGGUUAACAGCCCGUAUAUUGCAUGUGAUGGAAGACCCGAAACCUGGUGAGCUAACCAUGAGCAGGGUGAACCCCGUCGAAAGACGGGGGGAGGCCCGCACUCGUCAGAGUUACAAAUCUGUGAGAUGACUUGUGGUUAGGGGUAAUAUGCCAAUCGAACCAGGAGAUAGCUGGCUCUCCCCGAAAUAUAUAUAGGUAUAGCCUUAAGACUAACUUUCAAGAGGUAGAGCACUGGAUGGGCAGGGCAUCUUUAGGUGUCCUAUUCAAUCAAACUCCGAAUUCUUGAAAGCUACAUCUUAGGAGUCAGAACGACCCGGCUAAGCGGGCCGCUCUAAAGGGAAACAACCCAGACUGUCGUCUAAGGCCUCUAAAUGAAUGCUCAGUGUUGAACGAAGUCAAAUUCCUCAGACAGCCAGGAGGUUGGCUCAGAAGCAGCCAUCCUUUAAAGAAAGCGUAACAGCUCACUGGUCGACCUUGGAAUUUGGCGCGGAAAAUGAACCGAGGCUUAAGCAUUCUGCCGAAGACACAGAUUUUUUUGACGUUCGCGUCAAAAAAGUGGUAGGGGAGCGUUGAAGGAGCAGUGAAGUCCCUCUGUAAAGAUCGGGAUGGAGCGACUUCAAGUGAGAAUGCCGGAAUGAGUAGCGUAAGCCCGAUGAGAAUUCGGGCCGCCGAAACCCCAAGGUUUUCCCAGCCAUGUUGUUCAGCUGGGAGUGAGUCGGCACCUAAGGUGAGGCCUAAGUUGGCGUAACCGAUGGACGAGCCGUUAACAUUCGGCUACAUGAUAAGUAUCGUUAUAAAAUCAGGGAUGGACAAAAUGAGAAUAUCCGAACGCACGUAGUGAAUGUGGCGUUUAAGCAGCAAGACAGUUAGGCUUGGAAAAACCGGUCUGACGUUUAAUUGAGCUGUGAUGAGAAGUCUGGCGAGAAAUCAACGGGCAACUCGGACGGUUUUUGUUUUCCAGAAAAGAUUCGUGGUGAGAUAUUUAUUAUGCCGUACCGCAAACCGACACUGGUGGGGUGGUCGAGUAGACCAAGGCGAUCGGGAGAAGGUAGUUCAAGGAACUCGGCAAAAAAUCUGGACGUAAUCUAGAGAGAUGUCCUUCCCGCCUAUGGCGGGACGCAGCGAAAGAUUAUUCCCCGACUGUUUAACUAAAACACAGGUCUGUGCAAACUUGAAAGAGAAAGUAUACAGGCUGAGGCCUGCCCAGUGCUCGUAAGUUAAGUGGAUGGCUGAGAUUACAUCAAGGCUUGAAAUGAAGCCCGAGUGAACGGCAGCAGUAACUAUGAGCCGAAAGGCCGUUGUAGUUAAAAAAGUCGACUAUAUGCUGGAAUAUCUGGAGUAUCUAGCACUAGUUUAUUUCGGGUAUAUUUCGGAGUAGACUGAAAAUGUGUCUAGUGCAGACAAUCAGCAGGAAAGGUUAAAGACAGGACAUUUUUUGGCAGGAUUUGUUGAAGGCGAAGGAAGUUUUAAUAUUUCCAUACGCCGUAAAGCAGACUAUAAAGUAAGUUGGCAGGUGGUGUUGAGCUUUAAUGUAUCUCAACGCGAUCCAUCACUUUUAUAUUUGCUAAAACAAACUCUUGAUUGUGGGAUUAUUAAAAAACGUUUUGAUGGUGUUUAUUCGUUUGAUGUGACAACACCUGCGGACGCGAUUUAUAAAGUAAUUCCAUUUUUCCAAGAAUUUCCGCUUCGUUCAAAGGAUAAAAUUCGUAACUUUAACUUAUUUGUUAAAGUGGCGAAUUUAAUGAAGAACGGAGAACACAAAACCCAAGAAGGACUGUUUAAUAUUCUGAGCAUCAGAGAGAAAAUAAACUUGGGUAAGGGGAGGACUAGAAAAUAUUCGAUUUUCGAUGUAUUUCCCAAUCUGUCUUUAGAAUCCCCAGAGACUAUACGUCGACUUCGGCAAUCGCCGAAAUGAUAUAGUCCGGACUCCAUGGCGACAUGGAGAGACGUAACCAAUCGUCCUUUGUAACAAAUCGAACUGUUCUAUGGUAGCGAAGUUCCUUGUCGGGUAAGCGGCGGAAGCAAGCCCGACGUAAAAAACUGACUCAUAUCGGUGGAGCCUCUUGACCUUCGGGUUUUAUAAGGUCAGGAUGGUAAUACCGAGGGAAGUCGUCCGGUUGAUAACUGGAUUGACCCCGUAACGACUUAGGAUGCACGUACAUCCU
rnacentral:rRNA from 1 species